rnacentral:rRNA from 1 species
CGAUGGUAGUCCCCGGGUAAGCGUGUAGGAGGGUUCCGAUGAGAGUUGGAGCCAGUAACUCUGAGACGUGAUGCCGAGUCGAUUCAGACGAAGUCAUCAAUUCCAUACUGUCAAGAAAAGCCCAACAGUAAGUUGACACGGCACCCGUACCCCAAACCGACACAGGUGGGCGGGUAGAGAAUACCAAGGCGAUCGGGAGAACUAUGGUUAAGGAACUCGGCAAAUUACAUCCGUAACUUCGGGAGAAGGAUGACCCCAUUAGCGUGAAGAGAUUUACUCUCUGAGCGUGAGAGGGUGGCACAGACCAGGGGGUAGCGACUGUUUACCAAAAACACAGCAGCGUGCGAAGCCGUAAGGCGCUGUAUACGCUGUGACGCCUGCCCAAUGCUGGAAGGUCACGGGGAAUGGUUAGUCGUAAGGCGAAGCUAUGAACCUAAGCCCCAGUGAAUGGCGGCCGUAACUAUAACGGUCCUAAGGUAGCGAAAUUCCUUGUCGGGUAAGUUCCGACCUGCACGAAUGGCGUAACGACUUCCCCACUGUCUCAACCACAGGCCCGGCGAAAUUGCAGUACGAGUAAAGAUGCUCGUUACGCGCGGCAGGACGGAAAGACCCCGGGACCUUUACUACAGCUUGGUAUUGGUGCUCGGUUCGGUUUGUGUAGGAUAGGUGGGAGACUUUGAAGCUUGGACGCCAGUUCAGGUGGAGUCAACGUUGAAAUACCACUCUGGUCGUACUAGAUGUCUAACCUAGGUCCGUAAUCCGGAUCAGGGACAGUGCCUGAUGGGUAGUUUAACUGGGGCGGUUGCCUCCUAAAAUGUAACGGAGGCGCUCAAAGGUUCCCUCAGCCUGGUUGGCAAUCAGGUGGCGAGUGCAAGUGCACAAGGGAGCUUGACUGUGAGACAGACAUGUCGAGCAGGAGCGAAAGCUGGGACUAGUGAUCCGGCACUGGCUUGUGGAAGCGGUGUCGCUCAACGGAUAAAAGGUACCCCGGGGAUAACAGGCUGAUCUUCCCCAAGAGUCCAUAUCGACGGGAUGGUUUGGCACCUCGAUGUCGGCUCGUCGCAUCCUGGGGCUGUAGCAGGUCCCAAGGGUUGGGCUGUUCGCCCAUUAAAGCGGUACGCGAGCUGGGUUUAGAACGUCGUGAGACAGUUCGGUCCCUAUCCGCCGUGCGCGUUGGAUACUUGAGAAGGGCUGUCCCUAGUACGAGAGGACCGGGACGGACGAACCUCUGGUGUGCCAGUUGUCCCGCCAGGGGCACGGCUGGUUGGCUACG